rnacentral:rRNA from 1 species
GUGAGGAAUAUUGGUCAAUGGGCGAGAGCCUGAACCAGCCAAGUCGCGUGAAGGAAGAAGGAUCUAUGGUUCGUAAACUUCUUUUGCAGGGGAAUAAAGUGCAGGACGUGUCCUGUUUUGUAUGUACCCUGAGAAUAAGGAUCGGCUAACUCCGUGCCAGCAGCCGCGGUAAUACGGAGGAUCCGAGCGUUAUCCGGAGUUAUUGGGUUUAAAGGGUGCGUAGGUGGUUUGAUAAGUCAGCGGUGAAAGGUUGCAGCUUAACUGUAAAAAUGCCGUUGAAACUGUCGGACUUGAGUGUAAAUGAGGUAGGCGGAAUGCGUGGUGUAGCGGUGAAAUGCAUAGAUAUCACGCAGAACUCCGAUUGCGAAGGCAGCUUACUAAGCUACAACUGACACUGAAGCACGAAAGCGUGGGGAUCAAACAGGAUUAGAUACCCCGGUAGUCC